GACGAACGCUGGCGGCGUGCCUAAUACAUGCAAGUAGAACGCAGUUGCGAACGGGUGAGUAACGCGUAGGUAACUUCCUCCUAGCGGGGGAUAAAUAUUGGAAACGAUCGCUCAAACCGCAUACUGUGAGAUGGACCUGCGUUGUAUUCGCUAGUUGGUGAGGUAAAGGCUGCCCAAGGCCACGCUACCUAGCCGACCUGCGAGGGUUGUCGGCCACACUGGGACUGAGACACGGCCCAGACUCCUACGGGAGGCAGCAGUAGGGAAUCUGUGGCAAUGGACGGAAGUCGUACCGAGCAACGCCGCGUGAGUGAAGAAGGUUUUCAGAGCGUAAAGCUCCGUUGUUAGAGAAGCGGUAACUACCCAGAAAGGGACGGCUAACUACGUGCCAGCAGCCGCGGUAAUAC
rnacentral:rRNA from 1 species